rnacentral:rRNA from 1 species
GACGAACCGUGCGACCGUUAUUCGGAAUCACUGGGCUUAAAGCGCGUGUAGGCGGGACGGCACGUCGGUCGCUGAAAGCCCCCGGCUCAACCGGGGAACGGGCGCCGAGACGACCGCCCUGGAGGGACGUAGGGGGACCUGGAACUUCCGGUGGAGCGGUGAAAUGCGUUGAGAUCGGAAGGAACGCCCGUGGCGAAAGCGAGGUCCUGGACGUCUACUGACGCUGAGACGCGAAAGCUAGGGGAGCAAACGGG